rnacentral:rRNA from 1 species
AACGAACGCUGGCGGCGUGCCUAAUACAUGCAAGUCGAGCGGACCAAAGAGAGCUUGCUCUCUGAGGUUAGCGGCGGACGGGUGAGUAACACGUGGGUAACCUGCCUGUAAGACGGGGAUAACUUCGGGAAACCGAAGCUAAUACCGGAUGAUAAAGAGAAACGCCUGUUUCUUUUUUGAAAGUCGGCCUUGUGCUGACGCUUACAGAUGGGCCCGCGGCGCAUUAGCUAGUUGGUGAGGUAACGGCUCACCAAGGCGACGAUGCGUAGCCGACCUGAGAGGGUGAUCGGCCACACUGGGACUGAGACACGGCCCAGACUCCUACGGGAGGCAGCAGUAGGGAAUCUUCGGCAAUGGACGAAAGUCUGACCGAGCAACGCCGCGUGAGCGAUGAGGGCCUUCGGGUCGUAAAGCUCUGUUGUCAGAGAAGAACAAGUACCGGAGUAACUGCCGGUACCUUGACGGUACCUGACCAGAAAGCCACGGCUAACUACGUGCCAGCCGCCGCAGUAAGAC